ensembl:snoRNA
AUCCUUCUCUGGUUCAUGAGCAUGAUGAUUGGGUUUUCACGGGUUUGUGUGACAUGUGUCUCCCAUAAAACUUGUAAUGACGUCAGCACAUUACCCAUCUGACA